rnacentral:rRNA from 1 species
GGCUCAGGAUGAACGCUAGCUACAGGCUUAACACAUGCAAGUCGAGGGGCAGCAUGGUCUUAGCUUGCUAAGGCCGAUGGCGACCGGCGCACGGGUGAGUAACACGUAUCCAACCUGCCGUCUACUCUUGGACAGCCUUCUGAAAGGAAGAUUAAUACAAGAUGGCAUCAUGAGUCCGCAUGUUCACAUGAUUAAAGGUAUUCCGGUAGACGAUGGGGAUGCGUUCCAUUAGAUAGUAGGCGGGGUAACGGCCCACCUAGUCUUCGAUGGAUAGGGGUUCUGAGAGGAAGGUCCCCCACAUUGGAACUGAGACACGGUCCAAACUCCUACGGGAGGCAGCAGUGAGGAAUAUUGGUCAAUGGGCGAGAGCCUGAACCAGUCAAGUAGCGUGAAGGAUGACUGCCCUAUGGGUUGUAAACUUCUUUUAUAAAGGAAUAAAGUCGGGUAUGGAUACCCGUUUGCAUGUACUUUAUGAAUAAGGAUCGGCUAACUCCGUGCCAGCAGCCGCGGUAAUACGGAGGAUCCGAGCGUUAUCCGGAUUUAUUGGGUUUAAAGGGAGCGUAGAUGGAUGUUUAAGUCAGUUGUGAAAGUUUGCGGCUCAACCGUAAAAUUGCAGUUGAUACUGGAUAUCUUGAGUGCAGUUGAGGCAGGCGGAAUUCGUGGUGUAGCGGUGAAAUGCUUAGAUAUCACGAAGAACUCCGAUUGCGAAGGCAGCCUGCUAAGCUGCAACUGACAUUGAGGCUCGAAAGUGUGGGUAUCAAACAGGAUUAGAUACCCUGGUAGUCCACACGGUAAACGACGAAUACUCGCUGUUUGCGAUAUACUGCAAGCGGCCAAGCGAAAGCGUUAAGUAUUCCACCUGGGGAGUACGCCGGCAACGGUGAAACUCAAAGGAAUUGACGGGGGCCCGCACAAGCGGAGGAACAUGUGGUUUAAUUCGAUGAUACGCGAGGAACCUUACCCGGGCUUAAAUUGCAGAUGAAUUACGGUGAAAGCCGUAAGCCGCAAGGCAUCUGUGAAGGUGCUGCAUGGUUGUCGUCAGCUCGUGCCGUGAGGUGUCGGCUUAAGUGCCAUAACGAGCGCAACCCUUGUUGUCAGUUACUAACAGGUUCCGCUGAGGGCUCUGACAAGACUGCCAUCGUAAGGUGUGAGGAAGGUGGGGAUGACGUCAAAUCAGCACGGCCCUUACGUCCGGGGCUACACACGUGUUACAAUGGGGGGUACAGAGGGCCGCUACCACGCGAGUGGAUGCCAAUCCCCAAAACCUCUCUCAGUUCGGACUGGAGUCUGCAACCCGACUCCACGAAGCUGGAUUCGCUAGUAAUCGCGCAUCAGCCACGGCGCGGUGAAUACGUUCCCGGGCCUUGUACACACCGCCCGUCAAGCCAUGGGAGCCGGGGGUACCUGAAGUGCGUAACCGCGAGGAGCGCCCUAGGGUAAAACUGGUG